rnacentral:tRNA from 1 species
UGAUGUGGCUCAGUCGGUAGAGCGUCGCCUUGGUAAGGCGGAGGUCACCAGUUCGAUUCUGGUCAUCA